UGGCGGCGAGGCGCGAGCUUGCGGCGCGCGCGUUGAGCUUGGCGUAGAGCACGUCGUCCAGGUCCCAGGCCAGCAGGCGCCGCAGCAGCACCAGCGACUCGUCGAAGUACUCGGCGAUCAUGACGAGCGAGAAGACCUCCUCCACCUGGCGGAUGAGGCCCGCCAGAUAAGUCAUGCAGGGAGAAGCAAGCUGCGGUACUAUGAGCAGCCAUAUGGGGAGGUACCAUGUGGCAACAGUCCCCGAGGAACUGGGCUCUUAGUCUAUCGCCUGCUUGAAGGACUGAAUGCUGCCAGCAACCACACGAGUGAGCCUGGAAGGGGAGCACUUCUGAUCAGAAUUUCAUUUGAGACUGCGUCCUCAGCAGCCAGCUUGAGUGCAACUCCAUGUGACCUUGAGCAAGAAGUACCCUGCUAAAUCACACAUGGAUUCCUGACCCACAGAAGCACGAUAAUAAAUGUUUGAUGUGUUCAGGUACUAAGUUUUGAAGUAGUUCGGCUAUACAGAAAUACAUAACUAAUAUAAGGACAGGGGCCCUUGGAGAUCCUUGAGAAAGCCUACUCUACACAUAUAGAAACUGAAGACCAGAGGAAGAACCAUUUACAUUAUCUGGGAACUCAGCUAAAAUCACCAUAUUCUCUUAUUCUUUGUUUUCUUAUUUUUACUUUUUCACCGGCUCCUCAUCUUAUAGAUGAGUAGCAUGAGCUUUGAGGCAAUCUGUUAUGUGAUUCUGUUAAGUUCUCUGGAGCCUCAUUCAUUUAUUAAACAAGUUUUGUUUUUGUUUUUUUGAGCAUGUACUAUGUGCUAGGCACUGUUCUAGGCUCAAGAAUUUUACUCGUAUAAAAAACAAAGAAUAAUCCUAGCCUUCAUGAAGCUUUCAUUUCUUUUUCCUUGUUCCUGAAACAAAGGUGUUUGGGAUUACAGGUGACCUGUAAGUUCCCUUCAGACUUUGAGUUACUCUUGUUUCUUUUCUAUCCUAAGCAUCAUGUAAUGAGGAUUACUUUAAGCACCUUUGAGAAUGCCACCAAGACUUCCUAUCUAUGGCUGGUUUGGGCUCAGGGUAAUAUCUAUACAGAUACUCCUCCUAAAGACCAGCAGAUCAUCCAGCAAGGAGAACUGAGCCCAUUCACACCAUUCUCACAGGCAGAUCAUGUAGAAAAUGGGAAGGUUGUGGCCCUGAGAGGGGCAGGGACUUGUUGGGUUCCCAUAAUGAGCCAGGAGUAGGGUAAGGGCUCCUAUUGGUUGUCACAUUGGAUUCUGUAUCAGGAUGACUAAUUGGGUCACACGUACCAUCAUUCCCAUUUUAUAGAUGAGGAAACAGGCUCGGAGAAGUGAGGGGAUUUGCCCAGCACAGCAGAAGUAAUGAGAAGUUGUUUGCAGUCCUUUGGGGAGACACUCAGAACAUGAUGUUGUGGGAAGGACUUGGACUGGAUUAGAAUCCCAGGACUCCUUGCCUGACUGCUUCAGCCAAGAGUUGGUCUUGACUCCCCAGAGACUGAGCUCAUAUGAAACUACUGAGCAGACCUAUAGCUUCUUGGGUCUCUUGACGUGGGCAAUGGAUCAAUACUGCAGGUUUACUACAUGUACUGUACUCUUACAUACUUAAUUCCAUGUAAUCCCCACCACACUUGUAACACAGAUGUUAUUCCCCAUGUUACAGACCAGGAAACUGAGGCUGUAAGUGUUGGUGCUAUGUGUCCCAUAGGCACACAGCUGUUGGCAGGAUCAGGAUUCAGACCUGUUCUUUCUGGUUUCAAACUAGUCCCCCUAGACGUUAUAUGUGCUGCUUCCACAGAAAACUGAUUUCCCCGUCCCUGCUGUGGAUUCUGGCAGUUCUGCAUGCUUCUGAGCCCGAAGCAUGGGCUUCGGCCUUCCUAGCUGAGCUCCUGCCCCGAAGGCCCAAGACCAAUAAAUCCAUGUGGGAAAGAAAGGAAGGACUUGAAAUCCCAGAACCCUAUCUGGAUUCCAUCCCCAGACACCUGAAACCCUGGCUGCCUCAUCAGCUGCCUCUGCAGUGAGAGGUGCCCGGCCAAGGCCGUGACAUGGCAGCCUAGGAGAGGGGUGGCAGUGUGGGGAAUACGGAGGGGCUUCUCCUUAUUGUCCUGCUGAGAUUUUCCAGGAGAAGGUGGGUCUCCAUCUCAGGUGAGUGGCAGGAGUGAGAGGCAGAAGAAGGGUCUGGUUUCCAGCCAGUCACCUGUCCCUGCAUGAAUACCUUGGCUCAAGGGCAGCCUUUGGCAAUGCUAGCGGAAAGUCAGCUUCAGCAGCAAUGCCUUCCUCCCCAUUAGGGUAGCGUCUCUGUCUCAGGGCCCUCAGUCUCAGGUCUAGGUUCAGCUUCAGCCUCUCACACACACACACCUCUUGAAUGGGGAGAGGGAGCCUGGAACCCUAUGGGCAUUUGCACGUAUAUGGAACUAGGACACCUGGGUCCCAGGAGGGAUGAGGUAAUGUAAAAACUUUUGACCAUCACUUUCCCCAGGGGCCUGGAGCUUAGUUUUCAGUCCCUUUUCUUAACCACUACCUCCCCUGCUCCUCAUUAAUCCUGGAUUACAUUUAAACCUGUUUGGGUGGAAAGAUGUCCCGGUUAUGCCUUUCCUUUCUCUCCAGGCCCUAUCACCUGGUUUCCUCCACCAACCUGCAGACAGACUUAAUCUGCCUGGGGCUGAGGGAGGUGAAGGGUUCAGCCACACAGGGCCAUCCAAGGGCACAACAGAGAAAGUCUAAGGCCCUGUGGUCUUUUCAGGGAUUGCUAGGGGCAGAGAAGGGCUGGCUCUGCCUCAGUGAGGAAGCCUACAAGAGGAAGUCAGAGUCUGUGGCCUCUGCCACUUACCCUGCCUAGAGGAUUUGGUGACAAGAUGGGAGUUUCCUGGGGGCACCUGGGUGGCUCAGUUGGUGUCUGCCUUCGGCUCAGGUCAUGAUCCUGGGGUCCUGGGACGGCGCCUGGCAUUGGGCUCCCUGCUCAGUGGGGAACCUACUUCCCCUUCUCCGGCUCCCCGUGCUUGUGCUUGCUCACUCUCUGUCAAAUAAAUAGUCUUU